GGGUCGUUAACUCAGUUGGUAGAGUUCCUCGCUUACACCGAGGCUGUCGGCGGUUCGAGUCCGUCACGACCCA
rnacentral:tRNA from 1 species